GGGGCUCUGUAUCGUAUGGUGCGGGAAUCUAUAGUGGUCUUCGUAAGCGGUGUUAGGUCAGGGCUUGCACAGUUACGCUGCGUUUCACUACGAACCUUUACAUUUUCAAUUGGAGAUUAUGGAUGAGAAAGCAGGAGAUAGCAGCACAGUGAAGAAAAUAAAUUCAGGUUGUGAUGUUGAUGCUUUAAAAAAGUGUUUGGAAGAGAACAAGGGAGAUUAUGUCAAAUGUCAGAAACAGAUUGAGGCUUUCAAAUCAUCAUGCUCACUCAAAAAACCAAACCAAUCUCUUGAUUCUGCUUCACGUUAGGUCAAAUUCGAUGGUUCUGAUUCUGCAGUUUAUUUCUGGGUUUUCCGUCUUAUGGUAAAGGGAUGAUUAUUAUGAACUGAAGUUUCUGUCUUUCUAGAUGAUAUUUCUCAGUUGUAUCAAUAUUUAUUCAUAAUAAUGAUAAUUGUGAUACUAUCUUUUUAUAAA